rnacentral:lncRNA from 1 species
UUCAUGUGCUGGCCAAAUAAAUUCAGGUAUAUUCAUUUGGUUCAUGAUUCUGGGCAGUGGUCUUGCUAGAAUUUCACAAGUCAUUGUUACUUUUAUGCAGCUUUUCGAUUUCAUAAUAUUAGUGAUUGGGUUCUAUAGGGCAUAGGGUCAGUCUCUUCUGGGCCUGCACUGUCAGUGGUGGUGAUGCACUGUUGCUUUUGCUGUUCUCUUGGUCAGCCUGGGAGGUAUGUUUGCCAUGAUCAUUUUUGUAUUUGUUAUAAUGCUUACAAAGGUUUUGACAGAAUUUUUCAAAAGAUGAUUGUCUCUCUAAGUCAAAAGUAUUUAAGAUUCUUCCAAGUUCCAUCCCAAAAAAGUGGAGAUUUAUGAAACAUGGUGAUUUGGAUCAAACCACUUGUCAUUGUUUGUCAAAAUUUCCUGAUAUGACAUAUAUGGGGCAGAUCUCAUUGUUAUCCUAGACCUUACAUCAUUAUCAUUGAGAUUUUUGAACUUUUGCCUUGUUAUAUGUUUGUAAUGAGUUUGUAUUUUCAUUACACCUGUUCAUGCAGGAGGGGAUACUCUGUCAUUUCUGAAGAAAUUGUCUGGAUCAAUUUUGCUUUUUUACUUGGACCAACCUCUUGAAAUUGUCUUUAAAGUACUUCACACCCC